rnacentral:rRNA from 1 species
UGAGGAAUAUUGGUCAAUGGACGAGAGUCUGAACCAGCCAAGUCGCGUGAAGGAAGACGGAUCUAUGGUUUGUAAACUUCUUUAGUGCGGGAACAAAGCGGUGUCGUGACGCCGGAUGAGUGUACCGCAAGAAUAAGCAUCGGCUAACUCCGUGCCAGCAGCCGCGGUAAUACGGAGGAUGCGAGCGUUAUCCGGAUUUAUUGGGUUUAAAGGGAGCGCAGGCUGCGGGGCAAGUCAGCGGUCAAAUGUCGGGGCUCAACCCCGGCCUGCCGUUGAAACUGUCCUGCUAGAGUUCGUGCGAGGAAGGCGGAAUGCGUUGUGUAGCGGUGAAAUGCAUAGAUAUGACGCAGAACUCCGAUUGCGAAGGCAGCUUUCCAGCGCGCUACUGACGCUGAGGCACGAAAGCGUGGGGAUCGAACAGGAUUAGAUACCCUGGUAGU